rnacentral:lncRNA from 1 species
UGAAGUGAACGCAAUUUUCACUUAUGCUCAUGAUGAAUAUUUCGUUUGAACACUGGAUUCCAUGGAAGAGAAGUCUGAAAACCACUGAUCUCAUCUGAUACUUCCAUGAUUGAGAACACGGCUGGAACUGAGAAGCUGUUGGGGACUGGUGAGGAAGAACAUGGCAUCUACCACCAGGUAAAUGUAAAUUUGACUCUCAGUACUAGCACUCAUGCAGUGAGUUGAGUGUCUUAGAUAAGUCACAAAAAUUUUUGAAUCUCAGCUGCCUCAUUUAUCAAAUGGGAUAAAUGCUUACUUCUCUUGCUUCUGGGAAUGUUAGGGAUAAAGUGACACAGUGCCUACCACAGUGACUGACACAGGGUUGGAGUGUAAUAUAUGCUAGCCUCUGUUAUUUGCAUAUUUAGUCCCUACCACAAUGUCUAAUAUACAAGUGUUAAACCAAAUUAAUUUCAGGAAAUAAACUCUAUCAGGCUCAUUAACCUAUUUCUGUU